UGCAAGUCGAACGGAAACGAUGGAAGCUUGCUUCCAGGCGUCGACCGGCGCACGGGUGCGUAACGCGUAUGCAACCUACCUUAUACAGGAGAAUACCCCUUGGAAACGAGGAAUAAUGCUCCAUAGUAUCAUCACUUCGCAUGUUGAGAUGAUUAAAGAAUUUCGGUAUAAGAUGGGCAUGCGUCCCAUUAGCUUGUUGGUGAGGUAACGGCUCACCAAGGCUACGAUGGGUAGGGGGCCUGAGAGGGUGGUCCCCCACACUGGUACUGAGACACGGACCAGACUCCUACGGGAGGCAGCAGUGAGGAAUAUUGGUCAAUGGAGGCAACUCUGAACCAGCCAUGCCGCGUGAAGGAUGACGGCCCUAUGGGUUGUAAACUUCUUUUGAAUAGGAAGAAACUUAUCUACGUGUGGAUAACUGACGGUACUAUUAGAAUAAGGAUCGGCUAACUCCGUGCCAGCAGCCGCGGUAAUACGGAGGAUCCAAGCGUUAUCCGGAUUCAUUGGGUUUAAAGGGUCCGUAGGCGGGUCUUUAAGUCAGUGGUGAAAGCCGACAGCUCAACUGUCGAACUGCCAUUGAUACUGGAGACCUUGAGUACAAAUGAAGUAGGCGGAAUGAGUCAUGUAGCGGUGAAAUGCAUAGAUAUGACUCAGAACACCGAUUGCGAAGGCAGCUUACUAACAUGUAACUGACGCUGAGGGACGAAAGCGUGGGGAGCGAACAGGAUUAGAUACCCUGGUAGUCCACGCCGUAAACGAUCAUCACUCGCUGUUGGCGAUAUACUGUCAGCGGCCAAGCGAAAGUAUUAAGUGAUGCACCUGGGGAGUACGCCGG
rnacentral:rRNA from 1 species